UACAGAGGGGGCAAGCGUUGUUCGGAAUUACUGGGCGUAAAGGGCGCGUAGGCGGCCUGCUAAGUCGGACGUGAAAUCCCUCGGCUUAACCGGGGAACUGCGUCCGAUACUGGUUGGCUUGAGUUUGGGAGAGGGAUGCGGAAUUCCAGGUGUAGCGGUGAAAUGCGUAGAUAUCUGGAGGAACACCGGUGGCGAAGGCGGCAUCCUGGACCAAUACUGACGCUGAGGAGCGAAAGCCAGGGGAGCAAACGGG
rnacentral:rRNA from 1 species